rnacentral:rRNA from 1 species
UACGGAGGGAGCUAGCGUUGUUCGGAAUUACUGGGCGUAAAGCGCGCGUAGGCGGCUUUGUAAGUUAGAGGUGAAAGCCCGGGGCUCAACUCCGGAACUGCCUUUAAGACUGCAUCGCUUGAAUCCGGGAGAGGUGAGUGGAAUUCCGAGUGUAGAGGUGAAAUUCGUAGAUAUUCGGAAGAACACCAGUGGCGAAGGCGGCUCACUGGACCGGCAUUGACGCUGAGGUGCGAAAGCGUGGGGAGCAAACAGG